ACUGUCAGGUGGUUGAACUUUGCUUACUUUAGUGGACGUAGAUGGUCUUUCAUUAUCAGGUGAAAGCAAGCAAUCUUGAGGAAGCGUUGAAACUGUUAGAACGGAUUUAAAAGUCAAGAAAGAUGUGUUCGCAACUGCUGGUGAGACAGUCAAGACGGAGAAUAGAAUAUUAUCAAAGUCAGAAAGUGAAGAAGUAAGUAGUUUAUCGCUUUGAAAGUCAACAGUAUCACAAGUUUCUCUCUAAGAAUAAGGCAAAGAUUGGUGGUAGUGUUUAUCUCAAAAGCCAGAAUGUUCUGAUCAAAAAAUGCGUAUGAUUUCAAUGCCGUCAACCUUGAUUUUAAUGCAAGAAAUGUAAAACUUAAGGGUGCUCACUUAAAUAGUUUCAGUUCUGAACAAAGUAUUGCAAUGAGUUUUAGUGUUAUGAAUCUUGACGUUACAAGCAAAAAUGCGUUGACUAAAAAAAGGCAGUUAUGAACCAAAA